rnacentral:tRNA from 8 species
GGGCGCGUAGCUCAGUUGGGAGAGUGCUGCAUUCGCAUUGCAGAGGUCGAGGGUUCGACUCCCUUCGUGUCCACCA